rnacentral:rRNA from 1 species
AUUGACCGCUGGCGGCAGGCCUAACACAUGCAAGUCGAACGCUUGGCGGACGGGUGAGUAAUGUCUGGGAAACUCCCUGAUGGAGGGGGAUAACUACUGGAAACGGUAGCUAAUACCGCAUACCAUCGGAUGUGCCCCGAUGGGAUGAGCUAGGAGGUGGGGUAAAGGCUCACCUAGGCGACGCUCCCGAGCUGGUCUGAGAGGAUGACCAGCCACACUGGAACUGAGACACGGUCCAGACGCCUACGGGAGGCAGCAGUGGGGAAGAUUGCACAAUGGGCGCAAGCCUGAUGCAGCCAGGCCGCGUGUAUGAAGAAGGCCUUCGGGUUGUAAAGUACUUUCAGCGGGGAGGCGUUACCCGCAGAAGAAGCACCGGCUAACUCCGUGCCAGCAGCCGCGGUAAUAC